AAUACUGUUUUUUCAUUUGACACCACCUAUUUUGUCAUGUCCCUCAUGGCCUUGAUGAAAGUUUACUUUGAAAAUACCAAAUAAAACUAUUUGAAAAGUCAAUAAAUUUUGGUCUGAUAAAUUUGGCUGAUCCUGAAAGAAGGGAGAGAAACCUGCAGAGUGAGCGUGAGAGAUGGAGAAAGAAUGUAGAGAUAGGGAAGAAGAAAGCAAUUAAUGAAUUGAGUAAAAGAGAACAGCGUAAGAAAAGAAAAAUGUGGAGAGCAGCUUAUUAUAGGAACAAGGAGAGGAAAGAAGUGCUCAAGAACUUGAGCACUCCUCCACAGAGUCCUGAUCAGGGAGAUCAAUCAGAGCAGCCUUCACAGCCAAGAUCUUCAAGGCAACGUCUGGUGGCUCGGAAAAAGUACAGAACAGAAAAAAAUAAGCUCAAGAGGCAAAUAGCGGAACUCCAGGAAAAACUUGGAAAAGAAAGGAAAAGCAAAGAAAAAUACAAAAAAAGGUGCCAACGUUCAAAGAAAUCUUCGGAUCUUCGGUAAUAGAGGAGAAGGAGACAAAAAGGGAGAAAAGGCAACUGUCAAGGUGACAGUCAAGAAAUCUGUGGAGGGCACACAAGAGCACCUCAUUGAGCUCUUCCAGAGCUUUGUAAAGAAAUUUAAAAUGCAUCACUUUAAUAUCAAGCAGCAGUAUGCCUUCUGCCGUGAGCUGAAGAACAACAUGUCAGGGGAGGAGGCUUUGAUACAUGUUGACUUCUCAGAAAACUACAGCUGUAAAUACAGUUCUCAAGUUCAGGCGGUCCACUUUGGGGCUUCACAUCAGCAGGCCACCCUUCAUACUGUUGUGUUGUAUGUUGGUGGACUCUCAGAGCCUCUGUGCUUUAGCACCAUCUCCCCCAGUAGACAUAAAGGCCCUCCAGCAAUAUGGCAGCACCUAAAUCCUGUGCUAGAUUACCUUCAAGGCCAACAUCCACAAGUGUCUGUGCUGCACUUUUUAAGUGACGGACCCUGUACGCGAUACAAACAACGAGGAAACCUCUAAUUUUUCACUACAGAACUGGACAGAAGAGGAUUCAAGGCUGGUUCUUGGAAUUUUUUCGAGGCUAGUCAUGGAAAAGGAGGACCAGAUGGUGUCGGGGGAGCCUUAAAAAGAGCAGCUGACAUGAUGGUAGUGUGACCAAGUGGUCGGUGGGGUUAGAUAAAAGGAAAUAAAAUGACAACGCCACCUAGGGGAUUUUCACCCCUAGGAAAUAUAUUUAAGAAAAAUAAAUAAAAGGAAUAAAAAGAGGCCGCACAGAUUCAAGGAUGCACUCCGAGGCAGGUUGGCUCCAAUAUUAAAACAGUUUAUUUAUAAUAAAAAUAAAUAAAAUAUUAAAAACCAAAAUGUAGCGUCAUUGUUGACAGUGUCUUAACGUGAAAAUAAAACAAUCAUAGAACUUGGACUCACCAGCAGCCGUGGACCCAAAAGAAAAUCACACAAAACGAAAAUCACUGCAGCCCACCCGGUGCUGUACAAAAGAAAGUGUGAAAACGACCCACCACCUAAGGUCCCAGGGCCACUGGUACGUCCUCCGUUCACUAAAAGAAAACACAGAAAAAUAUGUUAAAAGAAUAACAGGACACUGAGCGUCAGGCUCGCUACAGAUGAUACAAAGAACUAAAACACACUUUAAUA